CUCAAAUUAUAAAUAAAAAAUUUGAAAACUUCAUCUCGUUAACCCAACAUUCUAAAUAUGAACAAAAGUGAUGUCUCAUACCGAACAAUGUCCCGUUAAUUAACGAUCACUAGUGACAUUCCAAAAAGCUGUUAAAUGCCAAAAGUCGCACCGAUUGUUGCCAAAAAUAUAAACAUACAUAUUGCAACGCUUUGCUGGCGGCAAAUAUUUGUUGCUGGUGAACAAGUGCGCGCCCAAGGCACCACAGUUCAUGAACCAGCUGACAAUGGCAGCGCCGAAGCAGCUAGAUAAAAAUCAGCGACAAAAUGCGGCAACUGCAACUGAAACUGCAACUGCUGCCACAAACAAUAACGUCAGCGGCAAGCUUGGGAACGACAGUCAAAAUUAAAAAGUUAUUGUUGCACGAAAUUGAGCUGAAAUUGAAAAAUGCUUUGCCUUUGAAAUGUGAUCUGUGCCAAAUGUUCGUUUCUGUGUUGGGGUGUAUGUACGUAUGUGUAGAUGUGCAGGUGCUAUGGCGAUUACGAUUGCUAUUUACCAAUUGGCCAUACGAAUUGCGCAUUUGAAUGCGAUAUCAUUCGUAGUCGCGUAAUUUGCGUAGUCAUUCGGCUGUGCGUGGCAAGUUGCGACCGAUUGAAGCGGCAUGCCAGCACACCGGCAUGCCACCCGAAGUGAGCAAUCACCCACACAACCUGCUGUAAAGAACACACUUCGUUAGGCAGCAAAGGUUGCAUUGUGUUUGAGAGGUGUGCGGGCGUGCAACACACAACGUGCCACACUGUCAAUCAAAUUGAACAGCAACUACUAUGACUGCCAUGGCAUGUUGCAGCAACACCAAGUUACUGCCUCACCAUAAAUGUCAGCUUAUGCCAAGCGUUGGCUGCUUCACCGCCCGCUCCGCUCCUUUUCCUUUCCACCUCAUAUUUGCAGCUUGCAAGCAGUGCCGUCACACUUCAUUUGCUGCCUGCGCAUGCGUUCGUGCACCAACUGGCAAUAGCCAGCUAAUGAGCCACCAUUCAAUUUUUCGCAGUCCAUUUCGCUUUGCAUUUACAUUCGCAACUGGCUUCGAUUGCUUUGUCUCAGCUGUGCGCUCGGUUGCUGGCUCGCUUCGUCCAUGGCUCGUUGCCGAGGUUGCCUAGUAACGGGUGAUUUGCAUAGUUAUUGCACAUUUUUGUGGCGACUCGUCGAAGUCACAUUGUAGCCGAUUUGAAUCUGUCGAGUCAAUUGUGGACAUUUUGUAUGAUUGAUCGCGUCACAUUAAUCUAAGUGUAUGAAGUUGUGGCAUGUGGCACGUGAAAUGGCGCAACUUAAGACACGUACAACUACUAAAGCUUGCAAAGAUUUUGUUAUGAAGUUAGCGUGAAGGUCAUUUACGAUUUUUAAAUCAAACUGGACUGAUUUUGUCUGAAUUUUGGUCCAAAAUCAUUUGACUCUCAACUAUAUGUUGAUGGCAGCUUAAUCGAUUCUGAGGUCUUAACCGCUGAACACACCAAUAACUCAAGUUUGGCAUACAAAAUUUAAUUAACUAUUUUGUAAUACUAAAUUCACAAUUCAAUUGAUUUCAUUACAACAACAAACAACAAAAAGCAAUUUUCGAAAUAUGCUUCACUUGUUCGAAUGUCAAUUUUCAAGUGAAAAAAUAACUAAUAGUGCAAUUAAAAGAAUUAUUUGUAUCGCGCACAAGAAGCUGACCCACUUCCGAGCGGCAAGAUCAAAAUUAGCCGGCAGCAAUAUAAGCGUAGCUCAGCAAAAACACCAACAAGAACAUAUGAUUUAAGUAAAUAAUAAAUAAAGCUGACAUCUGAUGGUG